rnacentral:lncRNA from 1 species
AGAAAUAUGCACUGGUACUCACAUCCUGGGGUGGGGAACAAGGCAAGAGACUUCUGUUCUUUAAAAAAAAAAAAAAAAUUACAUAGUCAAAUGAAAAUUCUCCUCAAACUCAUAAGUAAUCACGAUUAACAAUUUAGCAAGUAUCCUUUCUGACCUUUUUCUUUACUUAUUACUUACAAGUACAUGCUUGUAUGUAUGAGAUGGUGUGAGUUUUGUGUAUGUAUAUACAAAAAAAUCCAUUAAUUCUUUAGUGAGUAUAAUUUGCCAUAGAGAUUAACUUAUCUGUGAAAUGGAAUCGCGCACUGUAGAGCAGACAGGAGCAGGGACAUUUUGAUAAGCGUGUACUUGGAGCAGCUGCUCUGGAACACAGAGCUCUGCAUGCUAGGCACUGUAUGGGGCUUAGGUCCUUAGGAGAGGCCGAUUCAGUGAUGGCAUCCUCUCAAAUAUUUGGGGCUAAAUCAUAUUAAUCUUCCACUAAAGUCUGUACAUUUAUAUUUUCCUUUUUUGGGUUAUAGUUACUCCAGUGAUAAAGAGAAAAUAUUAUAGAGGUGCAGAAACAUGACUGAAAACAAAUGUAUUUUGAUGUUACUAUCUUCAGCAGAUAAACACUGUUGAUGCGUUAACCACGAUGGGAGCUAUUCCUGCAGGGUUCAGGCCUUCCACACUCUUGCAGCUUCUGGAGAAAGGGAAUCAAUUUCGAGCAAGUUACUUCUUACGACCACAGCUCAUGCCUUCUCAACUGGCCUUCAGAGAUCUGAUGUGGGAUGCUACAGAAGGCACUAUUAGGUCAAGACCAAGUCGUAUUUCAUUGAUUCUGACAUUAUGGAGCUGUAAAAUGAUUCCUCUUCCAGGAAUGGGCAUACAGGUUCUCAGCAGACAUGUACGCCUCUGUCUAUUUGAUGGUAAUAAGGUAAGCUUACUAAGAAUUAAAUCAAUUCAUACUAGGAUUAUGGAGAAACAUUUCCUUAGAUUAUUUUCCAUUCAACUCCUCUCCAGUUCCUAA